GCCCCAGUAGCCUAGUGGUUAGAGCAUCCGCCUCAGAUGCAGGAGGUUGUGGAUUCAAACUCCAGUUGAGUCA